GAGAAGUCGUGAGUCUCGAAUUUCAAGGAAGAUCAAGUGGGCACUUGAAUUGGAGGAAUGAACGGAAGAA
ensembl:ncRNA R04F11.24 ncRNA